ensembl:miRNA
UUAAAGAUACCUAUCGCCGGGCAGUGGUGGCACACACCUUUAAUCCCCAGCACUUGGCAGGUAGAGGCAGGUGGAUUGCCUGGUCUACAGAGCAAGUGCUA